rnacentral:rRNA from 1 species
UACGUAGGGUGCAAGCGUUGUCCGGAAUUAUUGGGCGUAAAGAGCUCGUAGGCGGUUUGUCGCGUCUGCUGUGAAAACUCGGGGCUUAACUCCGGGCCUGCAGUGGGUACGGGCAGACUAGAGUGCGGUAGGGGAGACUAGAAUUCCUGGUGUAGCGGUGAAAUGCGCAGAUAUCAGGAGGAACACCGGUGGCGAAGGCGGGUCUCUGGGCCGUAACUGACGCUGAGGAGCGAAAGCGUGGGGAGCGAACAGG